AGUCGGCCAUUCGCCCGAGUUUUAUUUUCAUGCUUUCGGUCGGUGCUCGCGCGAUUGCAUAACGGUCACGCACACGCAUACGCAAAGUCAGAGCACGCAACGCAAUGGCAACGACGGACUGACCAGGACACCAUUCUGACUUUUCGCAUAUGUAUUUGUACGUGUAUGUAUGAGUGUAUAUAUGUCGCACGCGAUCGUACGUCUCUCGGUUGUUGCGUAAAUCGAUAUAAAAGCAGGGAGAGAGAGAGAGAGAGAGAGGGAGAGAGAAGAAAUCUUUUAAAAUUGAUCGAUUAGAUUUCAAGGACGAUUUUGAUGACUAACAGAUAAAAUCAGUGGGACGUUGAAAUUCGCUGAUGUAACUGUGCUCGGUACUACGCAGAAACUUCAGCGCGCGGUAGCAUAUCGCUAUUUUACUUCGGUCCCAAGUCUGCAAUUUACCAUCGAGGACAAAAGAGGAGGAUUCCUGAGGCAUACCGCAGCAGCGACCUCCAUGAAUUCUUUUGCCUGGAACGAGGAAAAGAAGAAGAAGACUGUGGUGUGCGCGGGCGUUUCUCGAGAAAUCUCCGUGUAUGGUAAGCUGUCUUCGCCUCAUGCACUUUACAUGUUUGUAUACGUGUGUGCGUACACGUACUGUGCGAAGAAAAGCAGGUGCAUGCCGUACAAGCAGCCCGUGCCCAACGGUAUCACUUGUAUAUUUUUGCACCUUAAAGGAUCCGAAGGAUGCAGUCAACAUCAACUUCCUCUUCGUGAAUUCAAUUCUUUGAUGAUCAUGAUUCGUCAAUUGUGCUAACUCAAUCGAAAUAAAAUGCGAUUAUGACGAUUCUCUACCGGAGAUCUCGAAUUUUCUCUUUAAUGCUAUUUCUUCAAGAAUUGCAAUAAUUGGCCGCUCUCUAAUCGACGGUAGCUCGACUCCAAUUCUCAGAAGCGAUGCAUCCGGUCCAACAGCAUCCCCCCCCCCCUCUCUCUAUCAUUUCUACGCGGGAAUAACAACUUAUUGUUGAUAAUUGGUACAAACCGGAGGCACGUUCGCGCGGUUAACUACAUCAUGUUCCGCAUCGUCUCUCUCAGCUGUCCUCCUUCGCAAGAGUGCGAAGACUGGCUCAUUUUCAACGGCGACUCUUCCGCGAAACACACAUCCAGGAGGAGGAUUUAUUGGCCCACAGAUGGGAUUAAUUGUGAACAGUGUUAAACGCGUAUACUGACAUUGAACGCGUUAAACGAGUUAGUCUCUCUUUACAAUCUUCUUGUCGUUUUUUUGUUUUCUUUCUUUCUUUCUCUAUUUCUCUCUCUCUCUCUCCCUCUCUCUCUCUCUCUCUCUCUCUCUCUCUCUCUCUCUCUCUCCCUCUCUUUCUCCCUCUCUGUCUCUUUCUUCCACUUUCUUUCUAUUUCUCUCAUACAAUCGUGAUUUACUUUCACUCGAAAAAAAUACAACGUAUACAAUCAUUUCUUUUUUCUUUCUUACGUUUUUGUUUUUAGCUAUAACGUCAGAAAGGAAAUCGCGUCACGUCAUACGUCGAAAGUCAUUCUAUGAACGCCAAUAAAGAUUCUUGUUUGUUGAAUUUCGCUGGAUGAAAGUACAAACAUAUGGACGUUUCGCGUCUAUAUUAGAGAAAAAAAUUUCAAGUGAAAACUAAGGGAAGUUUGUGUGCAAGAGAGAGAGAGAAAGAGAAAGAGAGGGAGAAAGAGAAAAAGAGAGAGAAAGAGAGAUAGAGAGAGGGAGAGAUUGUGCUUUCUCGUUUUCAAAUGGAUCACUCGAAAAUAAGUACAAAGUUUUCUGGCAGCUGCACAAAACUGAUUUAAUCUCCCAUUUGUAUCGUUGCAUUGUUGCCUUUUCGAAAAUCUAAAAGAGAGAGAAAGAAAGAGAAAGAGAGAGAAAGCAUUCCUAUCAAAUGUGCUCGGUGCAGCAUGAAACAGUCAUGAAACUCGUGAAAUUCGCUUAGAAAACUAUUGGAGAGAUUACCCUCGAAAUUUCUACUAAAAGUAAAUAAUAUAAAAUUCCUAUGAGAAAUAAUAUACAUUUACAUAUUAAGUAUCCCCGAUAUAUCGUUCUUUUUCGUUAGGUAUAAAAAGUUCUGACGUAGAUAAAAUAUCCCUAAUAAGUAACGUUUUCAUUAAUUGCAUCAUAUACGUUUGUAUAUGACAGACGGAUUCACGUAAAAUAGUUACAAACAAUUUUCAUCAAAAUCAUAUAUCAAGAUCAUUAUAAGUAUCGAUUUAAAAACAAAUGAUAGAAAAAAUCAAUCAAUAAUUUUUUGUCUCGAUAUAUUAAACAAUUAUACUCGAUUGUAUUAUUUAAUAUAUAAAAAAAAGAAAACAAAGAUUGAAAUCGACAUUCAUAACGAUAUCGAUGAAAAUAGUUUGUAAUAUAUAAUUUACGUAAAUCAUUCAUAUAAUUCUAAAAUGUACUUACCUUUGUAUAUAAUUCUAAAACGUAACAUACCUUUCUAAUAGUAUAUGAAUAUCAGUAUAGAAAAUUGUACGGUAGCAAAAUAUUAUAUGACUUAGCAUGAAACGCGUUCGUCUAACGAGCCUUUAAUCGUUCAUAGAUUAAAUUUAAAUCGCCAUUACGUGUUCCUUCACUGUUUCUAUCAGAGUAAAUAUAUAUAUGAUAAAUAUAUAUAUAUUUACACACACAUACACACACACAAAAUAUAUUUACGUAUGUCUAUAUAUGUGUACAUAUGUGGAAAAGAGACUCGAUUGUUUGAAAAAGCUCUUCAAUUUCUAGCGGUUAACACGCUAACGAGCCGACUAUUUGAAGUAUGUAUCAAAUGAGAUCUGUCGCUUCUAUUUCACGAGAACAAAUUUGAGAUAUACAUACACACAUAUAUCUAUAUAGUAUAGAUGAUUGAAAGGCAGACUUGCGGGCCUAUUGUAACUACACAUCCGGCAGAACACUAUACAACUGUUAUGUUCAUCGAAUAAAGGUUGCCAUCAGACCUUAAAACCCAAACACGAAUGCAAUUCGAUAUUUGAGGUUUCCUCGAGAGUUCAUUGGACGUUGUGUAACAAAAGUUUUGUAUGUAUAAAUGCGUGUAUCUCUUCUUAUAUUUCGUGAAAAAUUACGUUUUUUUAUAUCACUAGUUUAAUUUUAUUUUACCGAAUACGUUACUCCAAUAUUAAUUGAAUUGUCGUAAAAAGGAAAAAAUAAUUAAUUUUCGU